ACACUGGAAACUGAGCCUACAAUCUGAGCCAUGUGCUCAGGCGGGAGUUGAACCAUGACCUCCUGGUUCAUAGGUUGAUGCUCAACCACCGAACCACACCAGUUGGGCCCUCUUAGAUUUCUAAAUAACCUUUGUGUGUGU